rnacentral:rRNA from 1 species
GACGAACGCUGGCGGCGCGCUUAAUACAUGCAAGUCGAGCGAGAACCGGGGCUUCGGCUCCGGGGACAGCGGCGAACGGGUGAGUAACACGUGGGUAACCUGCCCUCGGCACCGGGAUAGCCCGGGGAAACCCGGAUUAAUACCGGAUGGCCCUUUCGGUUUUCGGACCGGUCGGCAAAGGUAGCUUCGGCCUCCGGCCGAGGAUGGGCCCGCGGCGGAUUAGCUUGUUGGUGAGGUAACGGCUCACCAAGGCUCCGAUCCGUAGCUGGUCUGAGAGGACGAUCAGCCACACUGGGACUGAGACACGGCCCAGACUCCUACGGGAGGCAGCAGUAGGGAAUCUUGCGCAAUGGGCGAAAGCCUGACGCAGCGACGCCGCGUGCGGGAAGACGGCCCUCGGGUUGUAAACCGCUUUCAGGAGGGACGAAGUCACUCGGGUGAAUAGCCCAGAGGGUGACGGUACCUCCAGAAGAAGCCCCGGCUAACUACGUGCCAGCCGCCGCGGUAACAC